rnacentral:tRNA from 1 species
GGGGAGUUGGCUCAGUGGUAGAGUGCUUGCCUUGCAUGCAUGAGGCCCUGGGUUCAAUUCCUCA